rnacentral:rRNA from 1 species
UACGUAGGGCGCAAGCGUUAUCCGGAAUUAUUGGGCGUAAAGAGCUCGUAGGCGUUUGUCGCGUCUGCCGUGAAAGUCCGGGGCUCAACUCCGGAUCUGCGGUGGGUACGGGCAGACUAGAGUGAUGUAGGGGAGACUGGAAUUCCUGGUGUAGCGGUGAAAUGCGCAGAUAUCAGGAGGAACACCGAUGGCGAAGGCAGGUCUCUGGGCAUUAAACUGACGCUGAGGAGCGAAAGCAUGGGGAGCGAACAGG